AGGAACUUAGGAGAACAUUUAAACCGGGGGCCUUCAAAGUCCCAAACAAGAGAUACAUCUUAGUGCCUG
rnacentral:tRNA from 1 species